UGCGCAGGCGGACUGUUAAGUCAGUGGUGAAAUCUCUCGGCUCAACCGAGAAACUGCCAUUGAAACUGAUAGCCUUGAGUGUAGUUGUAGUAGGCGGAAUAUAGCAUGUAGCGGUGAAAUGCUUAGAUAUGCUAUAGAACACCGAUCGCGAAGGCAGCUUACUAAACUAUUACUGACGCUCAUGCACGAAAGCGUGGGGAGCAAACAGGAUUAGAUACCCUGGUAGUC
rnacentral:rRNA from 1 species